rnacentral:rRNA from 1 species
CCAACCCUUUGUCGUUAAAACUACCUUGUUGCUUUGGCGGGACCGCUCGGUCUCGAGCCGCUGGGGAUUCGUCCCAGGCGAGCGCCCGCCAGAGUUAAACCAAACUCUUGUUAUUUAACCGGUCGUCUGAGUUAAAAUUUUGAAUAAAUCAAAACUUUCAACAACGGAUCUCUUGGUUCUCGCAUCGAUGAAGAACGCAGCGAAAUGCGAUAAGUAAUGUGAAUUGCAGAAUUCAGUGAAUCAUCGAAUCUUUGAACGCACAUUGCGCCCCUUGGUAUUCCGAGGGGCAUGCCUGUUCGAGCGUCAUUACACCACUCAAGCUAUGCUUGGUAUUGGGCGUCGUCCUUAGUUGGGCGCGCCUUAAAGACCUCGGCGAGGCCACUCCGGCUUUAGGCGUAGUAGAAUUUAUUCGAACGUCUGUCAAAGGAGAGGAACUCUGCCGACUGAAACCUUUAUUUUUCUAGGUUGACCUCGGAUCAGGUAGGGAUACCCGCUGAACUUAAGCAUAUCAAUAAGCGGAG